GUGCCAGCAGCCGCGGUAAUACAGAGGGUGCAAGCGUUAAUCGGAAUUACUGGGCGUAAAGCGCGCGUAGGUGGUUCGUUAAGUUGGAUGUGAAAUCCCCGGGCUCAACCUGGGAACUGCAUUCAAAACUGACGAGCUAGAGUAUGGUAGAGGGUGGUGGAAUUUCCUGUGUAGCGGUGAAAUGCGUAGAGAUCGGGAGGAACAUCCAUGGCGAAGGCAGCUACCUGGACCAACACUGACACUGAGGUACGAAAGCGUGGGGAGCAAACAGGAUUAGAAACCCGAGUAGUCC
rnacentral:rRNA from 1 species